GCGGAGGGCCGGAUGGCCGCGGCACUGGCAACAGGGUCGAGGAAAGUCCGGACUCCAAAAAGCAACGGUGCCGGGUAACGCCCGGGCAAAGCAAUUUGACGGAAAGCGCCACAGAAAACAGACCACCUGUCGUGCAGGUCGGGCAACCGAAACCGCCGACGGGCAAGGGUGAAAAGGUGGGGUAAGAGCCCACCGCGCGGCUGGCAACAGCGGCGGCAUGGCAAGCCCCACCGGGAGCAAUGCCAAAUAGGGACCGCGCGUCGCAAGACGGGGCCGCUUUGGCUCAGCAGGUCCGGGUUGGCAGCUAGAGCCUUGCGGGCAACCGCCGGGCAAGAGGAAUGGUCAUCGAACCGGGGGCAACUUCGGGGAACAGAAUCCGGCUUACAGGCCCUCCGCGCAC
rnacentral:RNase_P_RNA from 2 species